rnacentral:rRNA from 1 species
CCCUUAGAUGUUCUGGGCCGCACACGCGCUACAAUGGUGAAUUCAACAAGUCAACCAAAGCCGAUAGGUGGAGGUAAACUCGUAGUAUUCGCCGUGAUGGGGAUAGACCCUUGUAAUUAUUGGUCUCCAACGAGGAAUUCCUAGUAGACGCAAGUCAUCAACUUGCAUCGAUUACGUCCCUGCCCUUUGUACACACCGCCCGUCGCACCUACCGAUUGAACGGUCCGGUGAAGUCUUCGGACAGUGGCAGUUUACUGCUACUGAAAGUUGAGUGAACCUAACCAUUUAGAGGAAGGUGAAGUCGUAACA